CACAACAUUCCAGGAAUGUACUACCAAAGUUCUAUCAAUAUUUGAAUGUCCUGGACAUUUAGGGAACAUUCGGUGAACAUCUGAUUAAAUUAUUCCUGGAAUGUUACCAUAAGACAUUCUGUGAACAUACUACCAAUGUUCCUAUAUUUUAAGUUGCGAAAUAAUACAUACGUGUAAGAGAUACAACAUUACUUAUAACAUACCAGACAAACUAAGUGACAUUUUAGGCCUACAGUGCAAUAAUAUGUCAAAUUUAAAGAGUUUCCCAAGUUCAAUGAAUACAAUAUUAUAAACAUACAAAUGUAAUAAAAAUUAUUGUUCGCGAAUAUUCAAUUUGGAAUGCGAUUUUGUUAAUAAAAAAAAUACUUAUAACUUAUGCAAAACCCAAGCGAGGCAUUUAUAUUUAUUUCUUUUGCGUUCAUUUUCAAAUUCGCCGUGCAUAUAUUUUUGUGCAUGGCGCUUGAGAGGGAAUCACGUGACUAAAAACGACCAACCAACGACCUCGCUUCGGCCAUCUUGGCAUCUUCAUCUUGGCGACCUUGCCGUUGCCCGGCCUUGCCUUGCCGUGGAUUGUUGUUUGUAUUUUGUAUUAUUUGUGCUUUUUAAGAAUAUUUUUUUAAUUCGGAUACUUUUAUAAUAGCUUUAAUAGUAUUAUUAACAUAGUGCAUAAAAUGGUGUCCUGUUUUUAACGCAGUUGGAGUAGCAGAAACAAAUGUAGAUAAAAAAAUCUGCAGGAAUAACGUUUCAAUUAUGACAGAAGCUCAAAACAAAUGACUGUGAAUGAAAAGCCCUAUUAAAAGCUUUCCAGAAGAUCCUGCGAAGAAGACAAGAAAGUAUAGAUUAGAUUUGUUAAUAGAGGAGUAUGUUCAAAACACUUUUUAGAAAAAGAUAUUGACAGAACUUCACUUUCAUCUGUUCGUUUGAGAGACUGUGCUGUUCCAAUAGCUUAUGUCACACAGAAUCAGCUGAGAGAAGUGGUCUACAAAAAACCAGAAAGGAAACGGAAUAUGUGGCUACGAAAAGCAAAAGAAAGGUUUACAAAGCAAAUGUGACACAUUUUUUAAUAAUAUUUAGGAAUGUCAGCAAAUUACAUUAAAAAAUGUAUGUAAAGAUUUUUUGCAAUAAAAAUGUUUAUAUUUA